rnacentral:lncRNA from 1 species
UAGCAUUCUUACUUUCUUUAAAUCAGACCUGGUGAUACUGUGCAGAAGUAAAAGUGUAACUACUGUGAUUAGUAGAACUACUGUGCAUUAGUACAAAUGGAUGUACCAAUCGCAGAUUGGCGCUUUAAAGCUGCUCUCUCUCCAGGGGUUUCCUGGAGACUUUGGUGAAAGAGGACCACCAGGACCAGACGGGGACCCAGGUUUGCUUGGAGCCCGUGGUCCUAAUGGAGUUCUUGGACUUAUUGUAAGUAUAAACUGUCUGUGCCUCUGUUUGCUUCUGUGUACACCAUUUCUAUGUUUGUUUUAUUGGUUUGUGUGCACGGGUGUCAACAUCCAUUUCCACCCAACACUGGCUUUGAAGACCAUAUCUUCAAAGGCAUGGAGAGCCGUUUAAUGUACUGUAAGUCUUUUAAUUUGUUGGAUAUGUUCA